rnacentral:rRNA from 1 species
GAAUAUUGCGCAAUGGAGGCAACUCUGACGCAGCCACGCCGCGUGCAGGAAGACACCCCUCAGGGGCGUAAACUGCUUUUGUACGAGGAGAAUGCCCUGGUCGCCAGGGAGUGACGGUAUCGUACGAAUAAGGACCGGCUAACUCCGUGCCAGCCGCCGCGGUAAUACGGAGGGUCCAAGCGUUGUCCGGAAUUACUGGGUGUAAAGGGUGCGUAGGCGGGCGUGUAAGUCAGGGGUGAAAUCCACCGGCCUAACCGGUGAACUGCCCUUGAUACUGCACGUCUUGAGUCUCGGAGAGGCUGUCGGAAUUCGUGGUGUAGCGGUGAAAUGCGUAAAUAUCACGAGGAACACCAGAUGCGUAGGCGGACAGCUGGACGAGUACUGACGCUCAGGCACGAAAGCGUGGGGAGCGAACAGG